ensembl:snRNA U1 U1 spliceosomal RNA
GGACUUACCUGGCAGGGGAGACACCAUGAUCAGGAAGAUAGUUUUCCAGGGUGAGGCUUAUUCAUUGCAUUCCAGAUGUGCUGACCCUGAGAUUUUCCCCAAAUGUGGGAAAGUCCACUGCAUAACUUGUGGUCGUAGGAGAUUGCAUUUAUGCUCUUCCCUU